CAGCAGCCGCGGGAAUACGAAGGGGGCUAGCGUUGUUCGGAAUCACUGGGCGUAAAGGGUGCGUAGGCGGAUUCUUAAGUCAGGGGUGAAAUCCCGAGGCUCAACCUCGGAACUGCCUUUGAUACUGGGGAUCUUGAGUCCGGAAGAGGUGAGUGGAACUGCGAGUGUAGAGGUGAAAUUCGUAGAUAUUCGCAAGAACACCGGUGGCGAAGGCGGCUCACUGGUCCGGAACUGACGCUGAGGCACGACAGCGUGGGGAGCAAACAGGAUUAGAUACCCGUGUAGUCCCUGUCUCUUAUAC
rnacentral:rRNA from 1 species